GAUCAUUAUCAAAACAGCGGACUUCGGUCCUUGCUGCACCCUUGUCUUUUGCGUACCGUAUGUUUCCUCGGCGGGCUUGCCUGCCGGUUGGACAUUAUCAAACCUUUUUGUAGUUGCAAUCAGCGUCAGAAAAUAAACAAUAGUUACAACUUUCAACAACGGAUCUCUUGGUUCUGGCAUCGAUGAAGAACGCAGCGAAAUGCGAAAAGUAGUGUGAAUUGCAGAAUUCAGUGAAUCAUCGAAUCUUUGAACGCACAUUGCGCCCCUUGGUAUUCCAUGGGGCAUGCCUGUUCGAGCGUCAUUUUGUACCCUCAAGCACUGCUUGGUGUUGGGCGUUUGUCCUGCAAAGGACUCGCCUGAAAGCGAUUGGCGGCCAACGUACUGGUGGUAGAGCGCAGCACAAUUUGCGUCUCUCCCUUCUACGUCGGCGUCCAUGAAGCCUUUUUUCAACGUUUGACCUCGGAUCAGGUAGGGAUACCCG
rnacentral:rRNA from 1 species